rnacentral:piRNA from 1 species
UGUGCUUAUACAUCUAUAGUUUUGGAAA